rnacentral:rRNA from 1 species
GACGAACGCUGGCGGCGUGCUUAACACAUGCAAGUCGAACGGAAAGGCCCUGCUUUUGUGGGGUGCUCGAGUGGCGAACGGGUGAGUAACACGUGAGUAACCUGCCCUUGACUUUGGGAUAACUUCAGGAAACUGGGGCUAAUACCGGAUAGGAGCUCCUGCUGCAUGGUGUGGUUUGGAAAUUUUCGGCGGUUGGGGAUGGACUCGCGGCUUAUCAGCUUGUUGGUGGGGUAGUGGCUUACCAAGGCUUUGACGGGUAGCCGGCCUGAGAGGGUGACCGGCCACAUUGGGACUGAGAUACGGCCCAGAAUCCUAAGGGAGGCAGCAGUGGGGAAUAUUGCACAAUGGGCGGAAGCCUGAUGCAGCAACGGCGCGUGCGGGAUGAAGGCCUUCGGGUUGUAAACCGCUUUCGCCUGUGACGAAGCGUGAGUGACGGUAAUGGGUAAAGAAGCACCGGCUAACUAAGUG